CAAACACCACGAUGGAGAACACCCAGGAGAGCAGCCGCAGCAGCGUGUGCGGUUGCCGGAGGAAGGCCUGCAGGUCGAAGGCGCCGCCGGCUUUCCCCGCUCCGAAGGCGCCCCCGUCCAUGGCGGGGCCCGCGGUGUGGUGCUGCGCGGGGGGCUCGGCGGGGCCGUGCCGUGCCGUGCCGAGCCGGGCAGCGCCGCGCCUGGCAGCA
rnacentral:lncRNA from 1 species